CCACCGUUAAGAGUUAGAGUUACUAGCUGGUUCCUAUGGGAAAAAGACCCAAGCUGCAGCUGAAAAUAUGAUGUUGUGGCAAGGCGAGUGGACGCCGGAUGCGUGCUCAGUUUUUUUUUGAGACUGAGACUGCAUUAGACAAUAAUGAGCAGGUUGCAAGGGAUGAAACAAAUGAAGAGAGAAAUGGCUCUGAUGCUAGUGGUGCAAGUAAUGCUGCGGUCGAGGACGCCGCACUGUCAGGAACGGCCGUCUUAUAAAACAAUCUCCACAGAGCAAGUCGGACCGAGUGAGGGGUAACAGAGAGGAGUGGAACUGGGAACACCGGAAAUGUGGCGAUUGGCGCGCGGACGUGACAGACGCGGGAGUUUUUUUAUUAUUUAUGGUGGCGUUGUGUAAAAGAUUGUCUUCUGGUUGCGUAUAAUUUUCAUUGUGGUAUUUUAGUUAAUUAAAAAUUGUUUUGUAAGGAAUAAAACUUCCUAGGUUGAGUGU